rnacentral:rRNA from 1 species
UACAGAGGGUGCGAGCGUUGUCCGGAAUCACUGGGCGUAAAGGGCGCGUAGGCGGUCUCUUAAGCGUGUGGUGAAAGCCCGGGGCUCAACUCCGGGUCGGCCGUGCGAACUGGGGGACUGGAGCUUGUCAGAGGCAGGCGGAAUUCCGGGUGUAGCGGUGGAAUGCGUAGAGAUCCGGAAGAACACCGGUGGCGAAGGCGGUCUGCUGGGCAGUAGCUGACACUGAGGCGCGACAGCGUGGGGAGCAAACAGG